ensembl:lncRNA
GAAGAACCCAGAACCUUCCCCUCCAACUCCCCCAAUCAAGUUUCCUUUUUAAGUCCUAUUUUAACCUCCUCUCCCUUCCAAACUCCCUUACCCCGGAGGGAGAGAGAGAAAGUCCCGGAGAACUAACCCCCUUUUAACUGUUCAAUGCUUCUUCUUUUAGCACUGUUUUUACUCACCCCUUUUAUGGCUUUUAAAAUCACCACUAUAAAUGUGAGGAGUGUAAGAACAGCAACAAGAGCACAGUCGGUUUUAUCCUUUUUAGAAAGGUUUAACUCUGAUGUGUUUUUACUACAGGAGUGUGGUCUACCCUUUUUAUCCUCUUACAGGAAAUGGGGGGAUAAGUGGCAGCACGGGCCCUCCAUUUGGAGUGGCUCCAAUUUUAACAAGAACGACGGUGUUGCCAUUUUAAUCAAGACCCCACAGGUGGUGGUGAAGGGGAGCACGGUGGUGGUAGAUCACGUAAUGCUGACGUGCACCCUUUCACUAUCUUCGGGGGUGACUGUGGGAAGAGGGCCCUGGAAAUUGAACUGCUCCCUUUUAGAAGAUGAUAGAGUAGUUAGUCAGUACAGAGAGCAGUUCAGCCAGUGGCAGACGCUACAGGACUUCUUUGACACGCGAGCACAGUGGUGGGAAAUGGUGAAGGGAAGGACGAGGACCUUCUUUAGAGAGAUAGGAAAGGAAAAAAGUAAAGAAAAAGAGAGACGCAUGGUGGGACUGCAAAAGCGACUGGAAAGGAUCGGGAACCAGUAUGUCCAGUGCGCGGGCUCGCUAUAGGUGAGCCCACAACGGUUUGGCGCAACGUGGCCCACCCUGCUCUCCUGAAUCGGCAUCGGGACCUGUCCUGGAUGGUCGCCCACGAGAUCCUCCCGGUCAGGGCCGUUAUGCACUCACGGGGCAUGGCGAGGACAUCCGCGUGCCCCCGACCAGGCUGCGGCCAAGAAGAGUCGGUGAGGCACAUGCUCUGGGAGUGCAGAGCCGCCAGGGACCUGUGGAAGGAAGCAGGCCCCCUGAUCACCUCGUGUCUGCCAGCAGGGGAGGACCUAACACCUCAGCUCGUGCUGUAUGGGGUGGGCCGAAGGCCCAUUUCAUCGAAGACCUUCACCAAGCUCUGGCCCACCCUCACGUGCCUGAAGGAAGCACUGUGGUCCUCCCG